CACGUAGGCACCAAGCGUUGUCCGGAUUUAUUGGGCGUAAAGAGCUCGUAGGCGGUUCGAUAAGUCGGGUGUGAAAACUCUGGGCUCAACCCGGAGAUUGCAUCCGAUACUGUCGUGACUAGAGUGCGGUAGGGGAGCGGGGAAUUCCUGGUGUAGCGGUGAAAUGCGCAGAUAUCAGGAGGAACACCAGUGGCGAAAGCGCCUUGCUGGGCCGUAACUGACGCUGAGGAGCGAAAGCGUGGGUAGCGAACAGG
rnacentral:misc_RNA from 1 species